rnacentral:rRNA from 1 species
GAUGAACGCUGGCGGCGUGCUUAUCACAUGCAAGUCGAACGAUGACCCAGAGCUUGCUCUGGUGAUUAGUGGCGAACGGGUGAGUAACACGUGAGUAACCUGCCCUUGACUCUGGGAUAAGCACUGGAAACGGUGUCUAAUACCGGAUACGACCUUCAGCCGCAUGGCUAGGGGGUGGAAAGAAUUUCGGUCAAGGAUGGACUCGCGGCCUAUCAGCUUGUUGGUGAGGUAAUGGCUCACCAAGGCGACGACGGGUAGCCGGCCUGAGAGGGUGACCGGCCACACUGGGACUGAGACACGGCCCAGACUCCUACGGGAGGCAGCAGUGGGGAAUAUUGCACAAUGGGCGCGAGCCUGAUGCAGCAACGCCGCGUGAGGGACGACGGCCUUCGGGUUGUAAGCCUCUUUUAGUAGGGAAGAAGCGAAAGUGACGGUACCUGCAGAAAAAGCACCGGCUAACUACGUGCCAGCAGCCGCGGUAAUACGUAGGGUGCAAGCGUUAUCCGGAAUUAUUGGGCGUAAAGAGCUCGUAGGCGGUUUGUCGCGUCUGCUGUGAAAACUGGAGGCUCAACCUCCAGCCUGCAGUGGGUACGGGCAGACUAGAGUGCGGUAGGGGAGAUUGGAAUUCCUGGUGUAGCGGUGGAAUGCGCAGAUAUCAGGAGGAACACCGAUGGCGAAGGCAGAUCUCCGGGCCGUAACUGACGCUGAGGAGCGAAAGCAUGGGGAGCGAACAGGAUUAGAUACCCUGGUAGUCCAUGCCGUAAACGUUGGGAACUAGAUGUAGGGGCCAUUCCACGGUUUCUGUGUCGCAGCUAACGCAUUAAGUUCCCCGCCUGGGGAGUACGGCCGCAAGGCUAAAACUCAAAGGAAUUGACGGGGGCCCGCACAAGCGGCGGAGCAUGCGGAUUAAUUCGAUGCAACGCGAAGAACCUUACCAAGGCUUGACAUAUACGAGAACGGGCUAGAAAUAGUCAACUCUUUGGACACUCGUAAACAGGUGGUGCAUGGUUGUCGUCAGCUCGUGUCGUGAGAUGUUGGGUUAAGUCCCGCAACGAGCGCAACCCUCGUUCUAUGUUGCCAGCACGUAAUGGUGGGAACUCAUAGGAGACUGCCGGGGUCAACUCGGAGGAAGGUGGGGAUGACGUCAAAUCAUCAUGCCCCUUAUGUCUUGGGCUUCACGCAUGCUACAAUGGCCGAUACAAAGGGCUGCAAUACCGUAAGGUGGAGCGAAUCCCAAAAAGUCGGUCUCAGUUCGGAUUGAGGUCUGCAACUCGACCUCAUGAAGCCGGAGUCGCUAGUAAUCGCAGAUCAGCAACGCUGCGGUGAAUACGUUCCCGGGCCU